rnacentral:misc_RNA from 1 species
CACGAGAUACAUCCACCACAGAGCUCGUUUGCCUCGCUCUACUUAAAUCUUCACUAGCAAACUCUCUCAAACCAAGCUCCAAUCUUUCUUUCGCAAGAUCAUCUAAUCUUUCAGCGAUCUCCUUUAUCUUGGAUUCUAUCUCUACAUUAAACAAAAUUGCACUUGGAUUAAUGGAGGCAGGAAUCAGGCUCUAUACCUGACUUAAGCUAGCUUCAGAUUCUUCUGACUCCAGCUUCCACCGCAGAGCCUCAGUAGCAAACUCAUCCAGCUCGUCCUCAGCAUCGUAAGCAACAUCUUCAAGCUCUUCCAG